rnacentral:rRNA from 1 species
GGAAGGAUCAUUAUUGAAUGAACUUGGUGUGGUUGUCGCUGGCCCUCUUGGGGGCAUGUGCACACCUACCAUUCUCAUCUCUCCACCUGUGCACCUCUUGUAGAUUUGGAAUUGAUUAUCCGAGGCAACUCGGUCGUGAGGACUGCUAGCACUUAGCCGGCUUUCUUUGCAAUUCCAGGUCUAUGUUUUUCAUAUACCCCAUUGUAUGUAACAGAAUGUAUCAUUGGGCCCUUGUGCCUAUAAACCUUAUACAACUUUCAGCAACGGAUCUCUUGGCUCUCGCAUCGAUGAAGAACGCAGCGAAAUGCGAUAAGUAAUGUGAAUUGCAGAAUUCAGUGAAUCAUCGAAUCUUUGAACGCACCUUGCGCUCCUUGGUAUUCCGAGGAGCAUGCCUGUUUGAGUGUCAUUAAAUUCUCAACCAUUAUCAACUUUUGCUGAUAAUGGCUUGGAUGUGGGGGUCUAUUUUGCUGGCUUCUCAGAUAGUCAGCUCCCCUUAAAUGCAUUAGCCGGUGCCCCGCGUGGACUGUCUAUUGGUGUGAUAAUUAUCUACGCUAUAGACAUCCGCAAUCAUAUGGGUUUGCGCUGCUUCUAACAGUCUGUUGAUUCAGACAAUACAUGACAAUUUGACCUCAAAUCAGGUAGGACUACCCGCUGAACUUAAGCAUAUCAAU